CGGGAGGUGCCCUCCUGCUAAUUGGAGUGUGCUGAGGAGGAACCCGCUCAGCUCUGCCUGCCUUGACAUUAAGACCUAAACUUGCUGUAAAACCAAAUGGAUAUGCACACCCACAUCCACGAGGCUUUUAGUUCAGCAACAAGUGAAUCCAUCAAAGCCCAGCACCUAAUUUAAUAGCAAUAAUGAAAGGUGUGCGUCACUAUUAAUUUAAGCACUCCAACAUUAGCCUUGCACUUAGAAACCAGCAAGGCAAAGCUAUUUACAAAUGAAUGUACCAGGGCAAUAAAUUGAAAGGACUGGUCUGACCUGCGGUGGCGGCUUUCUUCAUUUAUACAUAGACAUAUUUCUAUAGAUGCAUUUAUUCCUAUCUCUUUAGCGAACUCUCCCUAAUUAAGUUGAAGUGGCAGUGGAAGUGUGGCAGUAAGUGUGGAAAGAAGCUGCUGAAAACGUAUUUAAUUCAUUAUAAAUAAUCUUUGAUACUGUGAGGUUGCAUAAAGGUUUUCAGUAUCAGAGCAGGACACCGAGGAAGGCCAAGGAGAUCAUCUGCACACAGUGGGAGUGUCUGCAUCCCGUGGUUUGACGUCCUCAUGCCAGGGAAGGGGGAGCACGACUGGUGGGAGCCUCCGUUGGCACCGGGGGCCUGUGGAGCCCCAGCUCCGGGAGCACCGCGGCACGAGCAGGCUCCCUAAUAGAGUCCCGGAGCUCCCUGACGAGACCUUGCUCUCCAGCAGGAGCACAGCCCAGCCCGCUCAGCCCCGACGCCGCUGGCAGCCCACGUGCUCCUUCAUCUACAGCUCCCGGGAAGAGGCUGAACAGCCCUGGUGAGGCCUCAUGCAGGACCUGGGGGCACCAAGACUCACCACUCUUGGGCUGAACUCUCCCAUAUUCCCAUCGCACGCCUGGGGCUCGUGCCAAGGUCAGUUUGGGAGGAACGGCAUCGGGAGAGGCGUUGGGAGCUCCAGAGCACUAAGCAGGUAUCAUGGAAGACUGUACAGGGAGGCCUGGCCUCGGUGGUGCAGGGCUGAGCCCCUGAAACCCAGAACAUAAACACAACAGGUGAGACACAGACCCUCCCUCUGCCCCAGGGGCUGCUCCCGCUGUGUUAAGGCUCAGGAAGUUUUCUCUGUACAAAAGCAAAGUGGGAGGCUGGCAGAGGGUGGGCAGUGCCAGAGGGAGCUGCCCCCAGCCCUGUGGGGAACCGGGGCAGUUCUACAAAAGUGGGGUGUGUGUGCAGAGCUCCAGUGACCUGGAGAUGGACGAAAGACACCUCUGGUGAAUUCAACCAAAAAGGCGGCUCUGGGUCCCAGCAAUCCAUUCCCGCGUUCCCUGAUGUGUUAAGGAUGGACAAGGCCAAGAUAGUUACAAAUCCCAGUACAAAGUAGUUCUUAAUUUUUAUUUUUAAAGAAUAAUAUUGAGAGAAGGUGAAGGCAUUUCUCAGUCCCCGGGUGCAAGGUGCCUCGGUGGACGCGCCACCCCCAGGGUGGCAGCAGCUGAGGGUCCCGGGCAGGAGGAUGCUCCUCUCCACCACCAAGACGUGGAUUUCCAACCACUGUGCUGCCUUUAGCAAGGAACUUCCAAUAAAGCAUUUGCAAAGCUGAAAAGCACAGUUAAAUAAAAAUAUUUUUGAACAAAACAAACACAACAGACUCGACUGUCUCAGUGCUCCCUCGCUAAGCGCUCCCCUGCCAUGGCUGCUGUUCCUGGCUCGUGGAUGCCUCCUGCACUUCAGCAACAGAAGUGAAACCAUCUGGGACUGCAGCCUCCCCCC